UGCGGUUAAUUCGAUGCAACGCGAAGAACUUACCUGGUCUUGACAUCCCGGAGACCCUUAGGAAACUAGGGGGUGCUUCCAUCUGGAAGAAUCUGGAGACAGGUGCUGCAUGGCUGUCGUCAGCUCGUGUCGUGAGAUGUUGGGUUAAGUCCCGCAACGAGCGCAACCCUUGCCUUUAGUUGCCAGCAGUUCGGCUGGGCACUCUAAAGGGACUGCCGGUGUUAAACCGGAGGAAGGUGGGGAUGACGUCAAGUCCUCAUGGCCUUUAUGACCAGGGCUACACACGUACUACAAUGGCCGAUACAAAGGGCAGCGACACUGCGAGGUGAAGCCAAUCCCGUAAAAUCGGUCUCAGUCCGGAUUGGAGUCUGCAACUCGACCCCAUGAAGUUGGAAUCGCUAGUAAUCGUGGAUCAGCAUGCCACGGUGAAUACGUUCCCGGGCCUU
rnacentral:rRNA from 1 species